rnacentral:rRNA from 1 species
CUACGGGCCGCUCCAGUGGGGAAUAUUGCACAAUGGGCGCAAGCCUGAUGCAGCCAUGCCGCGUGUAUGAAGAAGGCCUUCGGGUUGUAAAGUACUUUCAGCGGGGAGGAAGGGAGUAAAGUUAAUACCUUUGCUCAUUGACGUUACCCGCAGAAGAAGCACCGGCUAACUCCGUGCCAGCAGCCGCGGUAAUACGGAGGGUGCAAGCGUUAAUCGGAAUUACUGGGCGUAAAGCGCACGCAGGCGGUUUGUUACGUCAGAUGUGAAAUCCCCGGGCUCAACCUGGGAACUGCAUCUGAUACGGGCAAGCUUGAGUCUCGUAGAGGGGGGUAGAAUUCCAGGUGUAGCGGUGAAAUGCGUAGAGAUCUGGAGGAAUACCGGUGGCGAAGGCGGCCCCCUGGACGAAGACUGACGCUCAGGUGCGAAAGCGUGGGGAGCAAACAGGAUUAGAUACCCUCGUAGUC